rnacentral:lncRNA from 12 species
GCCACCUUUUGAAAGCUGCUUAGGCCUUGUAACAUCUCAUGCUGUGUUCUGCCAUGCACAGGGUGACUCAGUCUGCAGCUUCCUGGUCAUUUUGCUCAGAUAAAAA